CUAAACCAGGCUUUGCCUUGAGGCUUAGGCCUCAGUACGUCGCCAUGGCAACCGGUGGAACGCGGAAGUCGGUUUGCGCCGCCCUGAUUGGCAGUGAGUCAAGAGAGGGCGGGGCGCUACUGGCAACCGGUGGAAUGCGGAAGUGGGUUUGCGCCGCCCUGAUUGGCCAGAGAGCCAAGGGAGGACGGGGCGCCGCUGGCAAGCGACGGUCCGAAGCCUAAAGAGGGCGGACACCGGAAGUCGGGGAAGGAAAAUGCAAAAUGGUGGCGCCAGCAUCAGGCGCGGGAAGAUCCAUUGAAAGCCUGCUUAUGAAUUAGGGCUAAACAGAAGAAUUGAAAGAUGCUUCCACCAAGAGUGCACCCUACUAGGUACAGGGGAGAGAGAGACUAUGGAUGACGUGAUGUUUCAAAGUGAUACUGUACUGUCUGAUGUCCAUCUGCACACACCAAGGAAAAGGCAGCUUAUGAUCAGAUUGAAUGCUGUUGGCCAGCCAGUAUUUCUCUCACAGUUCAAACUCCUUUUGAAUGAAAGCAACAGGAACUCUGAGAAGGGAAAGAGAAACCUUAAGGAAAAAACUCUCAGAUGCCAGAACAGCAACGCAGAGGAAGAAAAUGUGCAGGAGAGUACCAGUGAUCCAAGUUCCCCAAGCAGCACUGAAAAGGAAGGAAGCUCUUUAAAAGGAAUUGAAGCUUUAUUGGAUGAAGAUGGGGAUCUGGAGGUUGUCCGAAAGCCCUGUUUUUCUUAUGCAGAAGAUGAGAAUCUUUCAAGGGACAAGGUGUGUCCCAUCAUUUUGACGAAAGGUGGAGUUGUCUUGGAAGAGCAUGAGCAAGAAGACAGUUCCUGUGACAUUAUUAAAAUAGAGCACACCAUGGCAACUCCAUUAGAAGAUGUUGGCAAACAGGUCUGGCGUGGAGCCUUACUCCUUGGUGACUUCAUCCUCUGCAACCAAGAUUUGUUCAAAGAUCACACCGUUCUGGAACUUGGGGGAGGCACUGGGAUUGUCAGCAUUAUCAUGGCUAAGGCUGCCAAAACCAUUUAUUGUACAGAUAUUGGUGGAGAUCUUCUGGACAUGUGUGAACGAAAUAUUGCAUUAAACAAACGCUUCACUGAGCCAGCAGAAAGUAAAGUAACGGUCAGAGUACUGGACUGGUUGCAAAAUGAUUUCUGUACAGACCCUGAUAAUGCCUACAGCUGGUCUGAAAAAGAGAUUGCUGAACUGCACAAUCUCACCACUGUGAUAGUAGCAGCUGAUGUGUUCUAUGAUGAUGAUCUAACAGAUGCCUUUUUUAAAAUGCUUUAUCGAAUCACUAGCGACUUGAAACACCCUUGCAGCGUCUACUUGUCAAUAGAGAAAAGGCUUAACUUCACCUUGAGACACAUGGAUGUUGUGUGUGAAGCAUACAGUCACUUUCGAAGUGCCUUGAACGACCUGCAGAAAAUCAGAGAUGACAAAAUGAGAUACACCAUUGAGCUAGUUCAGCUCUCCUUUCCACAAUGUAUUGUUUAUGAACGAGUAGAGCAGUUGGAAUUAUGGAAAAUUACUGCUGACAAGACCUCUGAAAGAAGCACCCAGUGAGAGACUGGAAGAGGAAAUGCUGACUUUUGCACAGAAACAUCUCCCUAUCAACUUCUGUCCAAAAUAAACAUCUGAAAGGAAGGGGAAGGAAAUUAUUCUCUGCAUAUGCUUGCUCCAGGAGACGGCUGUUUGGCAUACGCGGCUUUAAUGACGGCCAGGAAAAUGGGUUCCUAGGGAGCAUCACAGAUUACUGAAUGUUUCACACCCAUUAUGUCAAUCACAUUAUUAUAAAGAGGCUCACGACACCUUAGAAGCUGGGAUACAUUUUCUGCCGCCCAGAACAGAGUCAAAUUUGGGAAUAUCCUGAUACAAGACGACAAGGCAGCCUCCUUUUCCAGGACCAGUCCUCCAUUUCCACCUGCCAUCCAGGAGGAAUUUCAAGAUGUCCUCCGUUUUGAACAUGGCUAAGAAGCACAAAUUGACA